CUAUAGAGAAGCGUUGUGUCUACACUCUAGGGUAUGGUGAGGCUUACGUAUUUGUUGAUGUUGAAAACAUUUUAAUAAAAUGGUUGAUACAUUCUAAACAAAAAUCAGUUAGAACUAACAAGAUAUCUUCAUUUGACAUGUUUGGGUUAGAUAUUCCUUGGCUAUAUCGUCGCGUCGAGACAACAGUUGAGACUGAGUUAACUACUUAUUGAUACAGUUAUUACUACUACUACUAGUAGUAGUACUAAGUAAUACUAAUGAGUGCUACUUAAUCAAGUUAAUGUUAGCACUAAUAUUAGUAUUUUCUAACAUUUUGAUUAGUGAGUACUGCUGUAAGUGUAAUAUUAUAUAUAUCUACUGCGAUGUACUAUACUGUACAUUGUACGAAGCCCAUGUGAUUGUGAGAUAGAACUGCUGAUUCAACUUGUACUCAAGUCUCAAGAAAUGUGCUUAGACCAGUGUAACUAACUUUGGGCGACAAGUGCUCUACAAAGAUUCUUGCAGCUCAUGAAUGCCAGGAAGAGGGAAGGAAAUGUGCCCACUUUAGGACCACUUCUCGGCAUCUCAGAGUUAAGGAGCAGUCAAGACACCUGGAAUGAACAGGCUAAGUGUCAUUCCUGUAGUGUUUGUCAGAAAAAAUAUAAUUGCAAAGAUGCUCUACUUUUUCACAUGUUCACUGUUCACAAACAGUCACUUGACAAGUAAAUAUUUACUGAUUUGCAUAACAACUGUUAAAAUUAAAUGAUAGCAUUUCAUAAUACUGCUCAUUUUUCCAUUCCUUUCAUUUUAAUGAGACUUUGGAAGAAAAGUAUAGUGCACUUUUAAUAAGUAUAUGUAAAUGCAAAUUUACAUUCAUAUUAUCUUUGUUGUUGUUAUUUUUAGUGAUUGUUACUUCUUCAGCAGUGCUGAAUGAGUGUUAAAAAUGAUUAAUGUUGAAUUAACCUCCUCCACUAGUUACAGAGCUGUGAAUAUUGGAUUGUAAGCCUAUAGAGAUGUUAUAUAGUGUAGAUUCUUCACAAUAUUGUGAAUGUAGUGAAGAAGGUAUACAGGAAUAUGGUGAUACUGACAGAAGUAACAGUACAGAAAAUGUAACAAACAUAGUUCAGGUUCAUUAAGAUAGAAGGGAUGAUAAGAUUGAACAUUCAACUGGUUCAUUAUUGUUAGGUUUUGCAUUUAAUUUGUUUAGCAAUUGCAGAAAUUAGAGCUGGGUAAUUAGUGGAAUUUGCUAAUUGAUUAAUUGUCGGGUUCAUUAAUCGAUUGCAUUCAACUAAUCAGUUAUUCUUACGAAACUUGAAUAGUUGGAAUAAGUGAAAAUAGUAAUAAUGAGAAACACUAAUUUUGAUUUAUUGAUAAUUUUCAUGAGUUAUGGCUAAUAGAUUAAACUAAAGAACCUUGAAUUAAUUGAGAAUAAUAAUUCAAAAUCAUAUUAGCAAUAUUUCAAUGACUUGGAUAGUUGGAAUAAUCAGAAACAUUAAUCUUAGUUAGUUAACUAUAUUGGUAACAUUAGUUAGCUUAAUCCUAAUUUUGAUUAAUUACUAAUCAAUGUAAUGAGUGAUUGAGUUAAACGUCCAGUUCUGACGGAAGUGUAAUGUGAUACUCCAAUUUAAGGUUUGAACAUUUCGAUAAUAUAAGUCUACAGUAAAGUUAACUCAUGAACACAAAGUAAGCAGCUAUUAAUUUUAUAUUUCAAUUCAAAGUGUGUGUUUUUUGUAAACGUGCUAAAGAUAGAAGAAACUUGUUUUGACCAAACUUAACUUGAUGUGAAUCAACACUGAUUAAAAAACUGUAGACAUUUAUUCUAUUAAAACAGAUACUGCUUUUAUUUUUUAAAGGGAAUUAACACUGAUGACCAAGUGUAAUAGGAGGAAAGUGGCUUGUUAGAAAACAUUGUUACCCAUAAUCAUUAUGUACCAAAACGUUACUUGUUCAAGUGAAACAUCAGUCAUAAUUUCCAGUACAGAGAUUUUGUUAAAUAUGUUCAGAUUGUGUUAUCAAACUGUUGGUAAAUAACUAUCCAAUAUGUUUCUGUUUACAAAAUAUAAAUUACUCAACUGACCCAAAUCUAGUUAUGGUUAUAGAUACAAGAGGAUGAUUUUCAGGUUUUAACUUGUAAACGUAAAGACCUAAUAACAGUUAAAGAAAAUUUUGACUAGUUGUGAAGAUGUAGUAGUAUACAACUUGGUAAAAUUAUUAUUGAACACUUUAUAAAGUGAAAGUUUUAUAGUUUAUAACAUUUUAACAUGAUUUAAAAAAAAAUACCAGCAUUCAAGUUUCUGCUUUGUAUUAUAAAUUCCAGUGUGGUGUGAUGUUGAAGUCAUUAAAAAAAACAACCAAAAAAACCAUUAAAACAUCUAGUCAUGGUUUAUAUCUAAGGUUCUUAAGUAAAUUAUUUUAAAAUGAGAGUUUAUAUCUAAAAAUAAUAACAUUAUACAGAUGUAAUUCAUAUUGACUUUUACACUACAGACGUUUAUUUGCAUAUAUUAAAAUCAUAAUAUGGUUUAAGUAUUUCUGAAUUACAUAUGGAGUUAUAUGUGUUGUCACAAUGUUUCUUGAAAAGGUAUGUAUCUUUUUAGGAAUGAUAGGCUUUAUAGAAAGUUUAACUGAUAUUUGUGAAAAUCAAGAUAUAUAUAUUUUUACAAUGUUUUUCGUGUUGCUAAGUGGUUUCUUGUCACAUAAUAAUGAAAAAUGUAAACAAUUUCAGUUUAUUGUGAAGAUAACUACUGGUGUUUAAAUGUUAAGAAUGAUAAUUUUUCAGUGUAAAAGUGAUGUAUAAAAUAAAGAAACUGAUUAUUUACUUAAUAAAACUUUGCCUAAGUAAAUAAGCAUCAUUUUUUUUCAAGCAUUGUAAGUUUUGAAUGGGAAAAUCAAAAUUACUAUCCUAAAUCAUCAGUUCACAUAUCAUUUGUUCAAAUCUCAUGUUUAUAAUUAUUUUCCAUUGAUAAUUCCUUGUUUUAGAAAUUUAACUUUGAAAUAUUUUAAUAUUUAUUGUAUCUUCAUAAUUUCUUAAGAACCAAACAAAACGAAAAAGAAUAUCAGUUAUUGUGCUAUUUCUAGAGAUACACAUCUUGAUAUCGUACUCCCACUGCUCACCUUCUCUUUCUCCUCGACUUAUGAAAAAUGAAAAAAAAAAGCAGUCUUUAGUCUAUCAAAGUACUGGAAAGGAAAUGAUGUUUUAUCGGGAUACCAGAGAGGGAAUGACAAAAUCCACGCCUGUGUGAUUUGCCAGACCACCUUCACUCGAAGAGCUUCAUUGAAACGACACAUGGAACGACACUAUCCUAAUCAACCAGGUUACAUCUGUGAUAUGUGUGGCAAGUCGUUCCUUCGUAAAGACCACCUAAAACUACAUAGAGCUCGCCACUUUAGAGCAAUUUAAGACUGUGAUCCAAUAGGUUCACUAUAAGAAACUGUAGUCUUGAUGUACCUGUUAAUAUAGACUGCUUACAAACUUAGAGUUUCAUACAAUUCUUGAAAGUUUCAUUUCUGUCAGUAGUUAAUCUUGUUGAGAAAUUAUCCAUAUUUUGUUUGAAGGUUAAAUGAAACAGUUAACAAUAAAAAUGUCUUAUUAUCACACAGAUGAAGAGUCUUAACUAUAUAAUUGAACAUUUCCAUGCUUGUAACAGUUUUUAUGAGGCUAUGGCCAUAUUGAACACAAUGUUAGUCAGGAAGAAUAAUUUAUUUAUUCGUGUAGUACAGUAUGUGUGUGAACAUAAUAACCAGAGGAAACAAUGGUUCUGAAGUCAAUUUGAAAAGUGUGAACAGUCAAGUCUGUAGAAGGUACAGUAUUAGCCCUGUAGAAUUUUCUUUUGUAAGUUGAUGCACCUUAGCCUUUGUGUUUUGAACUUUCUUCUACGAAUGAUUAAACAAACAAACAAGAUAUUGCAAGAAAAAUUCUCUAUUUGUUGCUUUCUGAGAUGGUAGCUGUUGGAAAACAUUUGUGUUAAUUGAUUAGAAGGUGAGUUACUGACUUCAUCAGAGUAUAUUCAACAAUUUACCUUUUUCAGCAGCAUCUGUUUGAUCCAGGAUUUAAAUAAUGAUUUUCUAACUCCAAUGAUAUGUGACCCAGGGUUUGGACAGUGACUUUCAUCAUGGGUGUGAUUUUCCUUUCUAGAUACAGAAUUACUUAAAGGCAGGAGUAAAAAUAAAAGAUAAUUUGUUUUCUAUAGGUGGAAGAGUGUGUUCAAUUUCCGAGCAGAAUGAUGGAACUUAAACCUCAGUAUCGUAUUUCUGGUUAAUUAAAUCAACUUUAAAGUAUUUUUGUAUUAUGCAUCUGGUCUACCUGGAAAUGAUUCCAGCAUGCAGCUGGUGCAAUAUAUGUGGGAAAAUCUUGUCUAUCACAAGUAGAGACACUGAGUGAAUAUGUUUCAAUCUCCUAAGUGUUUGGCAGUGAUCAGGUCGAACAAAAACUAUUGCUGUCUUUUCCAGUUUGUUUGUUGAAAUUUAUUACUAAAUAAUUUUUUAAAAAGCAUCUGUUAUUACUCGGAAUGAUAAAAAUAUAUUUGCUGUGAUUAACUGCCGAGUGUUCCUCUGCUAUAAUACCUAUCAUUUUGGGGAAGAUGAUGAAUAAAGUUCCUGUUACACUCACCUGUCUAACCUGACUCACUUAAUUGGAUGCCUUAUCAAGAAGCUAAUUUUAAAACUUGGGCUAUAUGACUUUGAAAGGUUACCUUGGCUGCUACCUUUUUUUUUUUACUUUAUACGUAUCAAAAAGGUGAUGAAAAGCUUCUUAACACAUAUAUUUUAUUGGCUAAAGCCGUGAAUUAAAUAUACAGUUAAAAUAUAUACACACUAACUGUUCAAAAUCCCCAACUAUUUUUGACAAACCAAGUAUGUUAUUAUCAAGGGCAAACCUUUAUACUUGUGAUAGUAUUAGACUAGGUUAUUAAGAGAUUCAAUUCAAGUGACUACUUGUAAGGUUUGAUAUCAUCAUAGUUAGUCUUUAGGGUGUGGAUGCUAGGCCUUAAUGAGAUUGCGGUUUAUCUGUAAUGUUCUUUAUGUUUUCCAGGACACUUAGGUCUGUGGUGGAGAGCAUCACAUGCAGCUUUAAGGAAAGAAACUUGGUGUAAAGUGUGUGGAAAGGUGUUCAAAGCAAGGAAACAUUUAAAUCAGCACAUGAAAAUUCAUACAGGAAAACAUUUUCAUUGCCCUCGUUGUUCGACAGCAUUUCGUUGGAAAAAGGAUCUAGCCUAUCAUAUAAAUCGAAAUAUCCUUCUUAUACAAGAAAUGUUCAUCUUGAGUUCCUGUGCAGGCUUUGCUCAAAGUCAUUCAGAACUAAAAAGCAUCUUAACCAGCAGGUCAAGUGACAUUCUCAAGAAACUUUCCAGUGUCCACAGUGCUUUUCAACUUUUAAAUGGAAACACAAUCUUUAGGUCUGAAAAAGUAGACCUGAUAUCAAAAUCUUGUGUAUGAUAUCUUCUAUUUUUUAAACUAAGUAUGCUAAAAUAUGAGAAGAGAUUAUAGGUCCCCUAAUUGUCACUGAUUUGUUUUCACUUUUGGGAGGGAUGGUGACCACCCAAUCUUAAACAAAGCCAUCACUGUAUGCAUUGAAUAGUAAGUUUUUGUAAGUGAUACUGGAAAGAAUUAGAAUCUUGCACUGUAAAUUAUGUUUUCUAAACACUUCAGGUAACUAAAAUGCAUUGUUAAAGAUAACUUUACAAACUUAGGCUGUGGAUGAAUGGCUAGUUAGAAUUAUACGAUAAUAGUAAUUAUUUUAGAUCUGUUGCAAUGAAAUAAAGCUGAGUUUGGUGUUUGUGGGUGUGGUAUAGUUUUCAUGCUUUAGUAAAGAUUUUGCCUCUCAAAAUUAUUAUUGAAAUAUUGUGUUAAUCAAGUACUUUUAUGGUGCAUAUGAGCAUAGUACGUAAUGCAGCUUCCAUUUUUACUGUUAAUAGCAAAUACAGUUCUC